GCAGUUGUGAUGAAACGAAACAAUAGAAGGACAUGCCGUUAUAUUAGAGUUUUUACGUUAUAUACCUGUUUACAAUUGCCCUAUCACUCU
rnacentral:snoRNA from 16 species